CUCUGGGGGCACACUUCGAUGAAGAGAGCUGCCAUCAACGACUGGGAAAUUGCUCACGUCAUCAUCAAAAUUGUGAAAGCGUGGCACUUUCAUG
rnacentral:rRNA from 10 species